rnacentral:RNase_P_RNA from 1 species
GGGAGAGAGAGCCCGGUUGCCGCGAUGGUCGUGCCGGCGACGGCGCGAUCACCAUGCCGUCGGCACCCAUGCUGGUGACCGACGCGCACAACGUUGGCCACCUCUCCGAGGUGCCCAACGCACCUAACGUGGCCCAUCUCUUCGAGAUGCGCCACGCUCGCGAGGAAAGUCCCCCCACCUGUUCGGGCAGGUGACCGGACGCAAGUCCGGAGCGGGAGACCGCUGGCUCUGGAACAGAAACGACACGUCUCGGCCCGACCGAUGAUGCGUGCGAACCCGACCGAGAGGAAGGGGAGCGAACCCGCAGAGGGAUGCGCGGUCCGAUGGACCGCGAACCGUGAGGCGGUGCGAACCGCCGACCGAGCGAGCGGCAUUCGCCGCGAGCAGUGUGCGGUUAUCAAACCGCGGUUCGAAUCCACGGGUCACGUUCGUCGUGAUCGACCGCACACGGACGGCCGAGGAGCGAUGGAACGGCGAAUCCUCACCGGUGCAAGUCCGCGCCGUGGUAGCCCGAACGCGCCGCGGCACCGCCGCGGGCGGCGCGGACGCUCAGCCGAAUGCCGGGACGAACAGAAGGGGGCUUACUCCUCUCACCC